GGUCUAUUACCGGAUAUGACUGUCCAUCGCAUGGUGGAUGGUGUAAAGCUCCGGCGGUGCAGGAUGAGCCCGCGGCCUAUCAGCUUGUUGGUGAGGUAGUGGCUCACCCCGGCGACAACAGCUAUCCGGCCUGAGAGGGCGACCGGCCACACUGGGACUGAAACACAGCCCAGACUCCUACGGGAGGCGGCAGUGGGGAAUAUUGCACAAUGGGCGAAAGCCUGAUGCAGCGACGCCCCGUGAGGGAGGACGGCCUUCGGGUUGUAAACCUCUUUCCCCUUGGAAGAAACAAAAGUGACGGUACCUGCAAAAGAAGCGCCGGCUAACUACGUGCCAACAACCGCGGUAAUACGUACGGCCCAAGCGUUGUCCGGAAUUAUUGGGCGUAAAGAUCUCGUAUGCGGCUUGUCACGUCGGUUGUGAAAGCCCGGGGCUUAACCCCGGGUCUGCA
rnacentral:rRNA from 1 species